UAUAGGGGAUACCUCCUAAAGCACAAAAUGUUACAGGGCAUUUUUCCUAAGUCCUUUAUCCACAUCAAGGAAGUGACCAUUGAAAAAAGAAGAAAUAUUGAGAACAUCAUUCCUGCAGAAAUUCCUCUGGCACAAGAAGUGACAACGACGCUUUGGGAAUGGGGCAGCAUCUGGAAACAGCUCUACGUGGUGAGACUCCAAGCCCCGUCCCCAGGGAUGGG